AGAAGGUCUCGUCCAUUUCAAGCUUGACCACGAAGCGAGUGACAAGGUAGUGCUACAGUUAUUUUUUUAAAAACGUGCUUUGGAAGUGCUCAACCUCUCGCUAUUUAACGACAGCUAGGUCAAUCUUGUUAUGAAAUAAACAAGAUAGUGAAAGGCAAAACAGGUUUCCCUUCGAAAAGGGAAUUCCUCUCGGGUGGCAAAAACGAAACUGCAACACCCCUAGUUUCGGAACACCAACGGCUGUUUCCUGGCCGUGCAACAUAAACCACCGCGAGCCGCCGAAGAAAGUCGACGAUAAGUCACGUGUCGUCGCGGCUAAACCCUCCGUGUCCAGGUGAUGUGUCCAGGAAGUGGUGAAUAGCAUACUCACCUACUUACCCACUCCAAUCGUCAAGCCGGGACAACCACCACGAUUAAGGCAAGUGGAGCGGGUUCAAGAAAGUUUGCCUACCUGUGAACGGUGCCCUGCGUCGUUGCCCAGCGUCGGUGCCAAGCAUAGGUGCCGAGCAUAGAUGCCCAGCGUCGGUACCAGCAUCUCGACAAUAGCACGUGUAGAACCACCGAAAGAAACGGAUAAGCAUGCGCAUGCCAACGAAGGUUAGAUAGCUGUAAGAAAAACUGUACUACUAACAACUUCCCCCACAAAAAUCUGAUUAAAGGCCAACAAAAUUGUAAAAUUAACAGAA